CGUAUAACGGAACGUCGUCGGAGGUGACCUUGGUCUCACCUAGUCUACAUUGGACAUUACGGACAUUUUGGUCUAGUGAAGCAGCAUACAACAGCAAACUUCGUCGUACUACCAGAGUAGCAGCAGAAGCAGUGAACUAUUUUAGAGAACCGUUAAUCGUCAGCCCAGAUCAAGUCAUCGUCAAGAAAGUCGUUAUUCGUCAGUCGUCCAGAUCAAGUCAUCGUCAAGAAAGUCGUUAAUCGUCAGCCCAGAUCAAGUCAUCGUCAAGAAAUUCGUUAUUCGUCAGUCGUCCAGAUCAAGUUGCCGUCAAGAGACUGUUAUUUGUCAGUAGUCGUCUACACAAAUCAAGUCGUCGCCAGGAGAACCGUUAACCUAUUCGUCAGUAACUGUGUACACAAAGUCGUCGGAACUACACAUACGGUCAUCAACAGUCGUCGAAGAAACUGAUACAUUUUGCUGUGGCAUAUCAAGACAACUGGGGCAUUACGUGGGAUACUUGACACGGAUUGUAUCCACUGGUAGCACCGGAGAACAGAGUCAGAACUGGAAGAGAAGCAGUGGAAUUUGUUGUAGAUCUAUCAUAUUCGAGAAUCCGAACAAAGGGGAUCUUUCUUAUCAAAAGCUAAGUGCCAUUUUUCUUAUUAGUAUAUGUUUAGAUUGCCCUUAGAAAUAGAUUUUGUCUAAAUUUGGUACGUUAGCCUGAGUAAAAUCAGGUGGUGCGCCUUAAAACCCGUCGGGGUAAAAGACGUAAUUUAGAUGAAAAGCUAUAUUAUACGUUUAGGAUAGUGAUUGUUUUGUUUGUGUAAACGUCAUAUCCGUUGUUGCUUGGUUACUUCGUGACGUUAUUAAUGUGUGCCAUAUUGUCAUAUCCCAACCCAUAGCGAUAGUCUCAUUUAAUUAUUUCAUUUGUGUAUAUUAUUUUAUAUUAUUUAUUUUUAUUAAUUUAAUUAGAUCUGUAUUUUUUUUACUUAAUGAUAGAAAGUACAGGUAGGGUUAGGGUUAGGGUUAGGGAAUUAUUGUGAAUCAGACUAAAAUACAUUUUAGUUUGAGCGGUUAAAAUCAAAUAUGAUUUUGCCAUGAGAAUGAUGCCGAAACUGGCAUAGUACUACUAAUAGUAGUCAAACAUUGUCGUCUGGCUAAUUUUAGAUCCACAAAUUUUUGUACAUUUCAUUUGUACAUCUACUGAUCUAGACUCUAAUUUUGAAUAUUAAUUGGAAAAAAGAAUGAACUUUUUUAUGAAGAUUACUGCCAGUGGAUAACAUUUGUGAGAAGUGUAUGACGUGCCCAUGAGAUGCCACAUUGCUAUGAUGAACUGUUACUGUUUACUAAUGAAGAUGAUUCUGGAAUUUUGGAAGUAACGGUGUAAUGUUAUGAACAUUGACAUGAACAUGAUGAACUGUCAAGCCAGAUGAAGAUGUCAAGAUUUUAUGUUUGUUGUCUUCCCCUUAAAUUGCAAAUGCCCUUGUAAGACUUGACAGUAGUGGAAAAAUAUUGACUUUUUUUUUCAAGUGGGGGGGAGGAAUCUGUUAGACACCUUAUUUAUAUAGAUUAGUUUUUUAGCGACGCACCAUAGAAGACGCAUAUUGAACGGGACUAGUGAUGUUUGGGAUAUGUUGGGUUAGAGACCGGAAAAUCAGUUAGCGAUAUAAUCCUCUAGGGUAACGACGUGUUUAGUGACAGAGACUUUUACUGUGGCCUUUUCUUAGAAUAAAUACAUGUUACAUUGUU